rnacentral:rRNA from 1 species
CCUACGGGAGGCAGCAGUGAGGAAUAUUGGUCAAUGGGCGGGAGCCUGAACCAGCCAAGUCGCGUGAGGGAAGACGGUCCUACGGGUUGUAAACCUCUUUUGUCAGGGAGCAAGGUCCGGGACUUGUCCUCCUGUGAGUGUACCUGACGAAAAAGCAUCGGCUAACUCCGUGCCAGCAGCCGCGGUAAUACGGAGGAUGCGAGCGUUAUCCGGAUUUAUUGGGUUUAAAGGGUGCGCAGGCGGACGCUUAAGUCCGCGGUAAAAUCGCGGGGCUCAACCCCGCCCCGCCGUUGAAACUGGGGGGCUGGAGUGGGCGAGAGGUAGGCGGAAUGCGUGGUGUAGCGGUGAAAUGCAUAGAUAUCGCGCAGAACCCCGAUUGCGAAGGCAGCGUACCGGCGCGAAACUGACGCUGAGGCACGAAAGCGUGGGUAUCGAACAGGAUUAGAUACCCGUGUAGUC